rnacentral:rRNA from 1 species
AGUGAACGCUGGCGGUAGGCCUAACACAUGCAAGUCGAACGGCAGCACAGUAAGAGCUUGCUCUUACGGGUGGCGAGUGGCGGACGGGUGAGGAAUACAUAGGAAUCUACUUUUUCGUGGGGGAUAACGUAGGGAAACUUACGCUAAUACCGCAUACGACCUACGGGUGAAAGCAGGGGAUCUUCGGACCUUGCGCGACUGAAUGAGCCGAUGUCGGAUUAGCUAGUUGGAGGGGUAAAGGCCCACCAAGGCGACGAUCCGUAGCUGGUCUGAGAGGAUGAUCGGCCAACCUGGACCUGGGCCCCGUUCCAGCCUCCACCGGGGGGCACCGGUGGGGAAUAUUGGACAUUGGGCGCAAGCCUGCGGCAGCCAUCCCGCGUGGAUGAAGAAGGCCUUCGGGUUGUAAAGCCCUUUUGUUGGGAAAGAAAAGCAGCUGGUUAAUUCCCCGCUGUUCUGCCGGUACCCAAAGAAUAGGCACCGGCAACCUCCUU